CUCAACCCGCGCCUCCUUUUGCUGCUCUCCCGUCCCGCCCUGGCCGUGCCCCCCUGCGCGGUGACAGUUCCCCAGUAGCUCUGAGUCUCCGCCGGUAGCAGGAGCGGGGGCUGCGGCACCCUCUUCCCGCACCGCCUUCCCCGCUGCCAGCAGGUCUGCGGCAAAAUCCGACCAAUGCGGGGCCUCCCCCGGUGCCCCCGCCCCGCCCCUCCGCUGCUCUCCGCCCGCCCAUCCCGGCUUCUGCUUUGGACGCUUCAAACUGCACUUGUGCUGCUGUUGUAAGGUGAACCCAAACUCUGCACACGCCUGUGUCAACAACCAGAAAAACAGCAAGGACUGGCCUGGAAAUGCUGCUGAGUCUGUUACUGUUUUCAAGCAUUGGAUGCAGAGACCUCUGGGACCAAGUAUCAGAAGAGGACACAGACAAGACGACCCAAAUCUUCCCCAGUACUUAAACAGGAUAAACAUUUCCUAAUCUUCUAACAGUAUGUUCUAAUCCGGGAAUUUAAACGCGGCUAAAUAUAAAUACCACUCACCGAAAAUAAUCAGUGUGAUCAACUCUUUUAUGGAAUAUAUGGGUGGCUCUUAAAAGAGCCUUUGGGUUGCAAGUGACGGUCCGAGACGCCCUACUUGGAGCUGGUGUACUUGGUGACAGCCUUGGUGCCCUCGGACACGGCGUGCUUGGCCAGCUCGCCGGGCAGCAGCAGCCGCACGGCCGUCUGGAUCUCCCGCGACGUGAUGGUGGAGC